CAUAUGUACGUCAUGUUGCGGAAGCUAGUUCUGUUUUAAGUUUCGUUUCGUGGCAGGUUGCUUUUAAGAUAGGUGACGUUAUCUGUGUAUAACGUAAAACAGAGAACAGGUGAUACUUACACCGUCGUUAAAUAAAACGUAAGAAGAAGGUAAUGCCUAUUGUCGCGCAGCAUGGGGAUAUUCCUGUUAAACGAAUGAACAAAGCUAAUGUUAACUAGGUAACGUUAUCUAAUUUUAGGCUACCUAGUGUCAUUAUUGCUUUAAAAUUAAUAAUCCGACUUGAUAUUCAACCAAUGUAACACUUGUUGGACCUUUGACAUGGAAAUGCAGGUUAAAACCAAAGUCAAUGAUCGCAUGAUUUCUGAAACAAACUGCGGAUCAUAUGAUGGAGCGGAAAGCAUCUCGGUGAACCCAGAACCGGAGACUAGUAUUGAUAUCGCCGCACAAUCGGUGCACUCGCGACAUUGCAGGAUAACAGUGACGGGAGAACACCCAGGAGAAUUUCAUUGCCCGGUGAAACCCGACAAUGGAGUAGAUUUAGAUAUUACAGUGAAACGCAUAUAAAAUUAAGCUCAUUGUGUUUCCACAUUGAAACUGGACCACGCGGAACAUGACACUUAUCUCUGUGCAGACCUUUCGAUUGCCGGGAGUAUUUGUAAAAAUGAGAACGAUCCAAGGGUUGUAAAGCCCGAAGCUCCGAGAAAGAAGUGCAUUGAGACUCGCAGGAAUACCGAACAGCUGGCAAGGCCCAGGAAGCGGAACCCAAAGGUGUUCCACUGUGGAAUUUUCGGCAAGCACAUUAAACAAAGUUCGAAUUUCCAGGUACGAGAGUAUAGAGCCGUGGGUCGUACCAAUACCACAUACUGUGUAAAUAUUGCAUUGCUCUAUACCAGUGGUCUCCAACCCUGGUCCUGGAGAGCUACAGGGUCUGCUGGUUUUUGUUCUCACCUUAAAAUCAGCACCCAAUUGAGACCCAAGACACCAGGGGCAUCAGCGGGUGUACAGUAAUGAGAGUCUUUACGAGUGGGGGCGACAUAGCUCAGGGGGACCAAAAGGGUUCUUAUGGUAAGCAGAAGCUGCUUUCGUUUAAGUUCGGAAGUACGUAAGCGAGAGGGGGAGAGAAAGAGGUGACCCCCCCGACCCCCCCCGUUGCGCAUGUGGGUCAUUUCUCAUCUCUUCUAUGGCUGCACAGAACCGAAGAGAAAACAUGGAGGGAGUUUGUGAAGUUGUUGUUGCAUUGGAGGACUGAGCAGAGACCCUGGCGAUAAUGGGUCCCUUUGUUUGGCAAGACUUUGCCGACGGAACGAGAGAGAAGUCUCUCGGCAUCUGUGGAUUACGUUAAGUUCACUCAGCGGACGAUCUUAUCCGGACGGGCCUACAAAACGUGGAAAACACCAGUGUUACUCUGUGGACAAUGUCACCAAGAAGGCACCGAAGAUCCUUUCAUGACAGUAAGUGUAAAAAGUUAGCCAAACGAACCAAAAAUAAAGCAUUAUAAAGCA